rnacentral:rRNA from 1 species
UACGUAGGGUGCGAGCGUUAAUCGGAAUUACUGGGCGUAAAGCGUGCGUAGGCGGUUCGUUAUGUCUGCUGUGAAAGCCCCGGGCUUAACCUGGGAAUGGCAGUGGAAACUGGCGGGCUUGAGUGUGGCAGAGGGGGGUGGAAUUCCGCGUGUAGCAGUGAAAUGCGUAGAGAUGCGGAGGAACACCGAUUGCGAAGGCAGCCCCCUGGGCUGACACUGACGCUGAGGCACGAAAGCGUGGGGAGCAAACAGG